ACGAUGACCCAGAGCUUGCUCUGGUGAUUAGUGGCGAACGGGUGAGUAACACGUGAGUAACCUGCCCUUGACUCUGGGAUAAGCACUGGAAACGGUGUCUAAUACCGGAUACGACAACCGAUGGCAUCGUCUGGUUGUGGAAAGAAUUUUGGUCAAGGAUGGACUCGCGGCCUAUCAGCUAGUUGGUGAGGUAAUGGCCCACCAAGGCGACGACGGGUAGCCGGCCUGAGAGGGUGACCGGCCACACUGGGACUGAGACACGGCCCAGACUCCUACGGGAGGCAGCAGUGGGGAAUAUUGCACAAUGGGCGAAAGCCUGAUGCAGCAACGCCGCGUGAGGGACGACGGCCUUCGGGUUGUAAACCUCUUUUAGUAGGGAAGAAGCGAAAGUGACGGUACCUGCAGAAAAAGCACCGGCUAACUACGUGCCAGCAGCCGCGGUAAUACGUAGGGUGCAAGCGUUAUCCGGAAUUAUUGGGCGUAAAGAGCUCGUAGGCGGUUUGUCGCGUCUGCUGUGAAAACUGGAGGCUCAACCUCCAGCCUGCAGUGGGUACGGGCAGACUAGAGUGCGGUAGGGGAGAUUGGAAUUCCUAGUGUAGCGGUGGAAUGCGCAGAUAUCAGGAGGAACACCGAUGGCGAAGGCAGAUCUCUGGGCCGUAACUGACGCUGAGGAGCGAAAGCAUGGGGAGCGAACAGGAUUAGAUACCCUGGUAGUCCAUGCCGUAAACGUUGGGAACUAGAUGUAGGGACCAUUCCACGGUUUCUGUGUCGCAGCUAACGCAUUAAGUUCCCCGCCUGGGGAGUACGGCCGCAAGGCUAAAACUCAAAGGAAUUGACGGGGGCCCGCACAAGCGGCGGAGCAUGCGGAUUAAUUCGAUGCAACGCGAAGAACCUUACCAAGGCUUGACAUAUACCGGAAAAGUUCAGAAAUGUUCUCCCCGCAAGGUCGGUAUACAGGUGGUGCAUGGUUGUCGUCAGCUCGUGUCGUGAGAUGUUGGGUUAAGUCCCGCAACGAGCGCAACCCUCGUUCUAUGUUGCCAGCACG
rnacentral:rRNA from 1 species